UUCUUUAUCCAUUCAUCUGUCAAUGGAUAUUUAGGUUGCUUCUGUGUCUUGGGUAUGUAAAUAGUGCUGCAGUGGGUGUUGGGGUGCAUGUAUCUUUUUGAAUGAUGAUUUUCUUUGGAUAUAUCCACAGGAGUGGGACUGGAGGAUGAUGUGAUAGCUCUGUUUUUUAGUUUUUUAAGGAACCUCCCUACUGUUAUCCUUGGUGGCUGUACAGUUUACCGUAUCAUUAACAAUGUAGGAGGGUUCUUUUUUCUCCACUCUCUCCAGCACUUACUAUUUUGCAGACUUUUUGAUAGCAGUCCUUCUGACCAGUGUGAGGUGAUACCUUACUGUAGUUUUGAUUUGCAUUUAUCUAAUAAUUAGCAAUGUUGAGCAUCUUUUCAUGUGCCUUUUGGCCAUUCAUGUGUCUUCUUUGAAGAAAGAUCUCUUUAGACCUUCUGGCCAGUUUUUGAUUGGGUUGUCUGUUUGUUUGUUUGGUACAGAAGUGUAUGAGCUCUUUGGAUAUUUUGGAGAUUAAUCCCUUGUCGUUCAUAUCACUUGCAAAUAUUUUCUCCCAUUCUGUGUGAUGCCUUUUGCUUCCUUUAUGAUUUCCUUUGCUGUGCGAAAACUUUUAAGUUUAAUCAGAAUGGGCAACUGCCAGCCUCCACAUGCCUGCCCUACCUCCUCCAAGUGACAGCAGUUGUGUCAAAAGAAUAUAAAAGCCAAAACAUUUUAUGCAUAUUUAGUAAUGCAUAAAAGAUGCUUUUAAUCAGAUCUGGAAUAAAAGGCAAAAUCACCAUAUUUGCUUCAAAAAAAAGAAAGAAAGAAAAUAUUCACUGACCACCAUUUUCUACAAAAUAAAGCCCAAUAUUAUAAGUUUCUUGACAGUCAGGUUUCAUUGAACCAUUUCACCUUCAUCUCUUAAAUGAAUGCUAAUCAAUAGUCCUGAGAGGAUAUCUCUUGUCCCUUGCCUUUGAUAAUAAAAAUUAGCAGCAGAACAAACAAACAAACAAAAAGAGUAAAAAGACAACCCAUAGAAUUUGAAAACCAUAUCUAAUAAAGGUUAAUAUCCAGAGGGUAUAAAGAACUCCUACAAUUCAACAACAAACAGCCCAAAAUGGACAAAGGAUUUGAACAGAUAUUUCUCUGAAGAUAUACAAAUUGUCAAUAAGCAGAUGAAAAUAUGCUCAACAUUAGAGAAAAAUGCAGAUCAAAAUCAAAACGAGAUACCACUUCACACCCAUUAGGGUGACUCUUAUGAACAAACAAACAAACAAACAAACAAAACAGUUCCCAGCGUGUGGAGAAACUGCAAUAGAAGAUGGCACAGCUGCUCUGGAAAGCAGUUUAGCAGUUUUUUUCCAAAAAGUCAGACAUCAUCAUAUGUGUCAGUAAUUCAGUCCUAACUAUACAUCCCAAAGAUUUGAAUGCAAACACUCAGAUAUGUGCACACCAAUGGACAUGGCAGUGCCAUUCACAACAGCCAAAAAGUGGAAACAACCCAGGUGUCCAUUAAUGGAUGGAUUUAUGAACGAAAUGUUGUAUAUCAUAGAAUAUUAUUCAGCCAUGAAAAGGGAAUGAAAGUCUGAUACAUGCUGAUACAAUAUUGAUGAACUCUGAAAACAUUAUGCUAAGUCACACAUCAAAGUACAAUAUUGUGUGAUUCCACUUACAGUGUACCUAGAAUAGGCAACUUCAUAGAGACAAAUUCAUAGAGACGAGGAGGAGGCGAGUGGGGAGUUACUAUUUAACGAGUACAGAGUUUUUACUUAGAAUGACUAAAAAGUUUUGGAAGUGGUGAUUAAAUUGAAAAUGCGCGGAAGGCAACUAUACUUUAAAAAGGUUAAAACAGUAAAUGUAAGGUUAUCUAUAUUUUUAUCUUAUAUAUUUAAUGUAAAAAUGAAAUGCAUUCAUUCCAGUCUUUCUUUGCUCUUCAGGUUUUGUCUCUGGGACUUUGAUAUCUGUCUCACUAAUGUUUCUUUUCUCUCUCAUGAAAGAAGUUCAUGUAAGUUGUCUGUGAGCAUUUAAACAACGUUUCUGAAUAGCUGUGAAGUUUUAAACAUCAAUUAAAAGCAGAGAAACAAAAGAACACUGUGAAUAAACAUGAAUAAAUAAGGGAAUAAUUAGAUUAUUUGAAAAUUCUUUAGGUUUAGUCAGAAUUUGCAAUAACCCCAUGAGGGCAGUGAGUCUGGCUUAAUUAUUGAUGCUAUAAAGCAGUCUGAGCCUAGAGUUUUCUCCAGCUUUACCGUUUAUGAUUUUAUAAAAGCUGUCCAGAUGGGCCCACUUGGUUUGGGCUCAUAGGCAAACUGGUCUCCAGCCAGAUACUCCAUCUUCUUGUAUCACACCUCUCCGUAGAGCUGAAAUGUUCCCCUGAAGAGAAACUUUUAAAAAUCCCACAAACUCUAAUUUAGAUUUGGCAAUCACUGUGCUAUGGUGUUUGAGUGUUUUAGACGCAGCAAUAAAUAGUGUUUUAAAACUUCCCAUGUCUUGUGCCUUAGUCACUCUGCUCACUGACUCUAAAGGCAAAAGCCUUGGAUGUAAGAAAGAAUUAAAUCACUCAUUGGCUAAGAUGGCCCUUCCUACCCCAUACCUCAGAUUCGCCUCGUUUUGAUCACACCCAGGGUAGUGCAACGAGAGAUGGAAGGAGGCGAGACGGUGCAUUUGUCUGUGAGCUCGUGCUCCUCAGGGAGCUGGGGUGACAGCUGACUCACCUCCGUGACAUUUACUCUGCCAUGGUUUUGCCUUUGCCUCUCAAAGACUUCUACGUCUUUAUCUUAAGACUCUUUGGUCUCCUUGGGGCAGUGCACUGUGGGGGUCUGUGGGACAAAGGACUGACUCAUUCAAAUAUGUUUUAUAUUACACCAAAUAUCAUCAAACAGAAGACAAUAGGAACCCAACGUCAAAUUCUAUUUAACAACUUUCCAAACUUCAUCCAGUCUCACAUUUAUUUUGAACAAACUACUUUGAGUCUUUUCUGGAACAAGGCAACAGGUAUACAAGAGAUGGAGCACAAAUACAUCAAAGGGUUUAAUGCAGAACAUUUUGGCCUUUGGAUAUGUAAUAUUGUAUCGGCUACUUUGGAUACACAUCAGCUUUUCUUCUGUUGUUGUUCUAGGGUUCUUAGGCGAAAGGGUCGUUUGUUAUAGAUUUUACUAUUUGAAACACUUCUUUGCUGUUACCUUUGGAGGUGUUCUUGUCUUGUUUUGUUUUCAUCUUUUGGCCCCCCUGUAACAUAUGCAGUUCCUGGGCCAGGGCUCAGAUCUGAGCUGCAGGUGCGACCUGCACUGUUCCGAGUCGGGAGUCAAACCUGUGUCCUGGCGCUGCAGAGAGGCCACGGAUCCUGUUGCCCCACACGGGAACUCCUGGUGGAUCUGUUCUUGGAGACUAUAAAUGUGAUACAUUUGCCCAUCCCUCCCUAUGACAAGAGAUGAGUGGUAUGUAUGGCUGGUUUGACCGUGUGAGUGCUCAGUCCAUACUCAGUGGUUAAAAUCAAAGCAUUUGGAAAGCGAUACACACACACACACACACACCCCACACGUGUACAUUCGCACAUGAUACAUGCAUACAUAUGUGCUUGUAUGUUUAUAUAUACUUCUCCCCGCUUUUAGGGUAGAGGAUCUUAUAAACAAUGUUGUGGCCGAUGCACAGAGACAGAAAAAGGAAUGGCCACAGGGCAAAGGGCAGCCUUGAGGUGUAACUUGUAAAACUGGUUUCUUGGGGCGACCUGCUCUUUCUGCACAAGGCAGAGGAUCAUUACAACAGCGUGGAGAGUGUUAGCGCAUAGCCCUGUGGCAGGCACAGGAUUCCUGGAAAGUCUCAGAGUGAUGUAUCUUCAGUGGAACUCCUGUACCACGGAUGUGAGGUCCCUGAGCAGAGAUUAUACUGACAGAGACGAAGUGGGCAUUUCCACCGCGCCCUCUCAACCUCACUGGUUGGCUUCGUAUUGACAACGGAAAGUAAACCUUUCCUUCUUCCCUUUCCCUGGAAACCGUGCGUGGUGGAAGUUGGUUGAUGUGCAGUGAAUCCCUAGUGGGAAAUUACUAGAACUAACCAGACAAGGAAUAUUUGUUUUCAAAUGGGUUUUUAAAUUGACCUUGAUAGUUUUCAAUGUUUCUUAAUUAGUGUUUGCAAAUCUGCUGAUUUUACGAAAAAUCUGUUUCUUGCUGUAUUAGAGUAUAGCAUCACAACAAAAUUAGCAUUCCAUAUGUUGUUUUGUUAAACAUCCUUGGUGACUUUCUUUAAAAUCCCUUGGGAACUGUUUUGAAAUUUGUUGAAACACAUUUGCAGCAAAGGGAGUGGCAGUCAUCCCCACGUUGCUCUUCCCGCAAAGCAUCGCCAGCACUUGGACGUGGCUGGGACGCUCUCGGGGCGCGUAUACCCUUCGGACGUUACUCACAAAUGAGGGGCCCUUUUUGCCGAAGCAGGAGCACCUUGCUAUGGAAUUCUGGCAAUGACAUGAUACCACGAUAAAGUUCAUCUAUUUUGUAAAGGCUGGAGUGGCAAAAGUCAUCAAUAAAAGCUUUAAUUAAGGUUUUCUCUUCUCUAAACUAAGUGAGAAAAUUCAGCUCCCCUUCCCUAAAAUCUCCUUCGGAACUGAGUAGAAACAGAAGAAUAUAUUCCAUUUGAUCCUGGGGAACGGGGUUGUCUCUCGUUGGUGGUACUAAGCAUUUACUCAAAGUGAGGUGUGGAAAGAGCUGCCGUGUCUGUGUCUUCGCUGCAGCCUUAACAUGUAGUCAGCAGACAUACUGAACACCUACUAUGUGCCAGGAGCUGAUAUUACUGACGGGACGAAGACGCCAUGGCAUCAGCUGUUCUGCUCAGAAGGCAUCAUAGCUUAGCAGCAGAAAUGACAGGUGGCACAUCAGGGCGCGGGGCGGCGGGGGGGGGGGUGCUUCCCUGAGGAGUAGAUGCUUCACCUUAAAGGGUGAAUGAAAGGUUACAAGGUCAGAAAGGCGCAGAAGUACCUUCUAAGAUGAACAACUGACCCAUAAAAGGCGCUGAGGUGUAAAAGGGUGCGGGGUGUUGGUGUGAUGGUCAUUCCCUGUGGCCGGCCGUGGGGUUCAGGAUGGGCCCUGAGGGAACGGUACUUGGAAAGGUAGGUCGGUGUGUUUUCUGCCACCCUAGGAGUUUGGACUUCAUUUUGUAGGAUACGGAGAAGCUGAAAAAAUGUCAAGAAGGGACAGAAAUUAAUUAAUGAUGUGUGAGUGGAAGGGAGGAUACUGAAGACACCAGUAUUAGUUAAGAAGCUGUUGAUUUUAUGGCCACACCUGCUGGAUAUGGACGUCCCCCGGGGGGCCGAGGUUGGAACCCAGGCCUCUGCAGUGACCGGAGCCUCUGCAGUCAGAUUCUUAACCCACUGCGCCACAGCGGGAACGCCCAAGAAGCUAUUGUAAUAGUCUCGGAGAAGAGCCUGAGGGCUGGAACGAAAUCGUAACGGUAGCAACUAAAAGGGUCCGGGGCGGGGUCUUUAGGAAGAAGAAGUGCUUUCGCCCUUAGGCGUGAAGGUCGGACAAAAGGAGUCCCGGUGAAUUUCAGAGCUGAUGGUGUGCCACCGGGGGGAGUCACAGCGCCUCGUCGUUAGGGAAUACGGGCGAGGUUCUGAGGGCCAGGAAUCGAGCUCUGGUUUGGACACAGACUUUGAGGUUGGAGGGAAUAUGGCGGAGGGGCGGGUCUGUGCGUUGGCUCUGGUGGUGGAGGCAUUUCUUGCCCCUCUUUUGGUGGGUCGAGGCGUUUCCUUCCCAUGAGAGAAGGGUCCAGGGCGGUGGGUGGGGUCUGAUACUUGUCUCAUCCUGACGGCUGAUCACCGCUCCCACGCCCAGGACCCUGAAGGCGCUCUCUCCACGCUCUCGUCCUUCCUUGUGGCCUCUCCACUCGUCUCCGACUUGAGGGUCUGUUAAAAUACUGGCUGUUUGCCUCCUGGCUGCAUUUGUGGUGAUGGCCUCUUUCUCCCAUGCCCCUAUGACCCACUUUUCCUAGGGGGUGCUUAUCAAUUCUCUGGAAAUUUGUUCUUCUGGUUGCCUUGCUAGUUUUGCUCUAGGAUGUGCUCAAGAAAAGUCAUCGUCAACGUUUUGGCUUGUUCUCAAUAUGUGGGUAAGGAUCUCGUGUGGCUUUCUGCAUUCUAAGUGGAUGCAUGGAAUCAAUUUUGAUAAUUAAAGAACGGACAGUUACUUUAGAUCUGAAAAGCAGAGUUGGGGACAGCUGCUGGCAGAUAUUUAGACCAAGUACAAAGUGGUCAUUUCAGAGUGGCGAAGAGAUAAACUUGUUGGUAUCAGCUCUCAAAAAUGCACGUGGGAAUCUGGGUGCACUUGGCAGGCUCUUCUAGACCGUUCGGGUCAGAACUGUUUCUGCUGGGCUGCCGGUACCUGCCGUCGCUCUUCCCUGGCAGUACCUUGAAGACACCACCUUGUGACUGAGGAUAAAUAAAGCAAAAACAAAACUGGCGUUAUGAUUAUUGUAUUAAUAAUUUAAUGUAGGCUCAUUGUUUUGGAAACUCACACUGCGAUGAUUAAAAACCUAACCAGACCACGAUCAAGGUGGAUGCAGGAAGAGUUGGACACACGUACAGUAUUUUUCUCCCGCAGAUUAGGUUGGGGGAAAGGGGUGGUCAGCAAACCUUUUCUGUAAAGGGUCAUCCAGAUGAUAAAUAUUUUAGGCUUUGCAGGCUGUGCAGCCUCUGGUAUUAUUUUGUUGCAACUCACUCUGCUUCAGUAGAACACAAGCAUCUAUAGACCAUAUAAAACCAAUAGAUAUGGCUGUGUUCCUGCGAAACUUUAUUUACAACAACGAGUGGCUGCUGGAUUGAUCCCCAGACCGCAGGUUGCCAGCCCCUGAGUUAGGGGGCUGAUACAGAUAAUAGAGUGCGCCCACUGCCACGCAGGCCAUGUGGCCACCGGUCUACCCCACAGAGCCCUCUCGGUGAACAAGAUCUCUUGUGGCUCUUCUACAUGCCAAGUGGAAGAACAGAGGGCAAAACUCACUCGCUGGACACAAGCCUCAUCUAAUGUAACGAAUCAGAACACUUGCCUGUGGGACAUGCGUCCUACUCUGGGCUGCAGGUGGCAUUUGAGAGUCACAACGACCAUCCACCGUCCACCGCUUGGUCCUCCCGCAUCCUUCGUGGAAUGAUGCAGAGAGUCAGUGAUAGCGUAGUAGUAUCAGUGGUCACGCAUGUGUGUAUACAGUGUGUGUCCACUUUUAAAAUAAAAGAACACUACUAUAUGUGUGAUGGGAGAAAGGAAUACAUUUGAAAUUACUCUGUAUAAGAAUUAAUUUCAGUUUUUUUUCAUUUUCUCGCCUUAAGCUAUGAAACAGAACCUCAAUUUCGUUUCCUGCUGGAGGUAUGUCCUUUCCUUCAGAGCACCAUUUAACAGUUUGAGAAUGACGAUAAGGGCAUAAUGUAAAAGUGACUUAAUCUUACUAAGCCCUGGACCAGUGGAUCCUGUUAACAGAGCCUCUUACUGGAGGGCUGGGGCUAACCUUCUGUUUCUAAGGAUGGGAUGAAUCGAUCUCUGUAACGGUGCAUUUUCCUUUCUGCUAGUGAACUGGACACUCCGAGAGACAUAUUUAUUAAUUCAGAACAGACUUUUGGUAUACUGACAGUGAAGACAGUUUUCCGACCUCUGAAGGGCUGCUCUAGAUAAAGAGCACUUGCUAACUACGUUCUCUUAGAAGUAGAACCAUGACUCAUCUCCUGUACCCUAGGAAGCAUCCUAAGCCCGGAUGGCUAACCAAGCCCUUCAGCUAGAAAAACUGGAUUCUAAUGAGGUCGGUGGGUACUGGAAAUAUGUCGAGGAUGUGGUCAGGGGUCACUUUCAGGGCUGGUUUGGGGACGGUUGAAAAAUAGGCAGAAUUCAUUCUUAUUAUCUUCCCACUCCCUCCUUUAGUAGCAAUCUCUCCAUUCUUUAAUUUACUCAUCCACUUUGAAGAAUCUAAUAUGCAGUUCUUGUCCUUUAAGUCUCUUUUUAUCCAGACACUUCUAAAACCUUUUCUCUGCUCAUAGUCACAUCAGGCAGUAUCUGUUAGUAAACUAAUUCAUGCCAGUGCUGACUUACAUUGACUAAAUUGCGAUAGUACUCAGGUGUAUUCUGCAGUGCAAGAGGGAACGUGGUUUUGGUCACAGGAGCAAAGGUCUAACGGUGGAUGGAUGAUUUUCUGUUGCGGCAUGAGCCGUCGCUGUCAUAUCCUGUAUUCAUUCAUUUUUCGUCUCAUCCAGCCCAUCUUUCUUGACCAUCCGCCAUAUGCUAGGCUCUGUUUUAAGGAUUGUGCAAAGAAUUACAUGGUUUGGCUUUAGGUGGACGCUGACGUGACUGCCCCCGUCAUUGCAUACUCUGGUCACCACGCCCCUUCUCUGCUCACAUCCAGUGGUUCUCAUCACCAUCAGUGGCAUUUGCAAGACUGAACCUCAUCUUGCCCAAACGUCUUCUCUCACCUUAUUUCCUGCCUCUGUCCAGCUUUGUCUCUCUGCUCCAGCCCCAUGGACUCUUUGACAUUCCUCAAGCAAGCUCAUGUUUAGGAAUGUUGUGUUUGCUGUUCUGUCUGUCUGAGAUAUUCUGUCCGUAGACAUCUGUGGGGCUUAAUCCCUCAUUUUAUCAGAGCUCUGCUCAAAUGCUACCUCGACAGAGAAGCUCUACCUAGUAUGGUACUAGUCCUUUCGUCUCUGUUCCCUUUUCUUGCUUCAUUUUUCUCAUAGCAGUAAUUAUCAGCAGGCAUCAUCCUACACGCGUGCGCGCACACGCACGCACGCACACACACACACACACACACACACUGAGUGGGGCCUUUCUCUCCACUAGAAUGUAAUCCUAAACUCCAUAAAGUCAGGUGUUUUGUUUUGUUUGUUGCAUUGUUAGCACCUAAGACGGAGCCUGGGCAUAAUACAUAUUCCAUCAAUAGUUGUAGAUUGUCGAAUCUCUGCCUCCCUUGGAGCAUCUACAACAAAGUUUUUCUAAUCUUGGGUUCAUGUCUCUUGCCCACCUAAGCAAAGAGGGCAUAGCAUUGCUAUACCGAACAUGCCUAUUAAGGGAGUUUCAUCGUAAGAAGCCUCAGUUACCUACCAAAGAUGCAGCUAAUGCUAUAUUCGUACAUUCCCUUCCUAGAGCCCUGUUUUCAGGAUGCUUGGCCGUCAUGGCUUUGGUUUGGCUCUGCUGUGAUUUUUACAUGGUGUUAAUGUGUUCUUGACAUAUUUCAGAGACCAGGCUUGUCAUUUACUUUGAGGGAGCCCAUGAAUUUCUCUCUUACACUUUUGAAAUGAAAUUUCAGAAUUGAAUCAAAUUUAUUGUUUCAAUCAAAAUGGAUUUGAUUUACAGAUGUCUGAUCCCUUAAAAAACAGAUCUAAAAAAAGAAACCUUCCAUCAGCUUCAGUUUUGGUUUUCCUGUCUCCUCCAAACAAGAACUAAGGACUUUCUAUAAGACAUUUUCCAUAAGACUUUAUUGUGUUAAAAACAUCGAUGCAUGUUAAACUAAGUACAUUAUACUUGCCUAAGUUUUAAGGCUUGUUUCAUCGGGGAAGUAGUUUAAUCCGCUAGCAAGCUGUGUAUGCCUUUUCAGAAUGUGAUUAUUGCUCAUAAAAGUGUUUUUAAUUGAAAAUUUUAUGUCAUGAAUAGCCUAUAGCAAACUUAGAUGCACAUACCUGUAUUUAUGUGUCUAUAAUUUAUUUUUUAAGAUUCCCUAUGCAACCCUAUUUUGAAAUUACUAAAGGAGUUUUCUUUCUUUUUUUGUUAUUCAUCUGGGUAACUUUAAAAAAUAUUGCUCUUACGUUCAACUGUUGGCACUGUUGCAGGCAACUAAAAGCUUAAGAAAAUUAUUCCCUGUCUGUCCCCCCAAAAGCCACAUCUAAAAAGGUCACAAAAGGAAACACACAAUUCAAAUAAUCUCCGUGCUGUAUCUGAGAUUAACUUGGACACAGAUGUUUUAACUUACAGUUUGAUCUGGCGUAAUAUAUACAUUUAACAAAAUCCUGUUUUGUAUUGCUUCUAUAAACACUGACGUCUGAUAAAAGUGUAUUGAUUUUUUUGCUGUUUCAGAGCUUUUGAACCAGCGCUUAAAGCGGGUCGGCUCCAAGGCCUAAAUUAACUCUUUCAGCUUUUGACCAUGGUUUCCGUGUGGGGUGUGUGUGUGUGUGUGUACAUGCAAGUAUGUGUUUGUUUAUGCUUGAAAUGGAUUAGAAUGGCAAACCAUUUUGUGGUCUGCAAUAUUUUACUUGCUAGGGAUAAUCAUUAGACUUUGUUCUUGAUUUUUUUUCUUAGAAGAUGAAAUGAUUCAACACUGUUCAUUACUGCUCAUUUCCUAACCACACUGUAAUCAUUAUAGGCCUAGAUAGUAUCUGAAAAGUUACCGAAAAUAUUAAUGCAGCAUGAAUGGGGUUUUCCUCCCGCACUCUGGGCGUUUCAAUACGGACGUCAUACUUCCUCCUCUUGGUCCUCAGGCCUUUGUCCAGCUGGCUUUAAUGUGAGACCCUUCAAGGAGGUGACUCAGGAAUAUCAGUCCAGUUGAAGUCUGUCUCGCUUUCAAGGUCAUUUUCACACCCUCUUCUUUUUGCCCAACAUUCUAAUUCACUGCAGGGUAGCUCCCGACCUGGGCAGGAGUGUAGCAGCCACCACAAGGGCAAGGAGGCUUCUCCAGUUUAUUCGUGUCUUCAGAUCAGAAUCGUGGUAACUCCUGGGGGAAAAGGUAUUCCAAAAUUUAAAACAUCAGAAGAAAUAACACAGCACCACAAGCUUUUGAAGUUACAGAGACGGUUGCUAGGGUCUGAAUUAGGUGAGACACUGGCCGGUACUGAGGGCCUGGUAGGCUUUGUCAUUUACAAGAGAUCUUCACACGAAUGCUUUCAUUGGCGCCUCAGUGUGACUUUCUAAAGUGUGUGUUUUAGACACCUCCACACUGCACAUGGUGACACAGUCUGAGAGAGGAUGAGCCGUGAGGCGAGAGCCUGUCAUCGGCAGUGCUUUGAAUUUCAUCAGCCAGGAAGAUCGCCUUCCCUCUGGGUACAACGGACAAACAGGCAUUUAAUUCAAUGGAAAGUUAGUCAAAUGGCGAGUCUGUGAUGUUGGAGCACAUUUUUUAAUUUUUAAACUAAUCAUUUGGGUACACAAUAAGCAUAUGUGUAACAGUGAUAAGACUAUUUAUCUAUCGGCAAAUAUGCUUAUUUGUCUGUUUAGUCUUACACACACACACACACACACACACGCGCCCCCUUCAAGGCCGGGGCAAAAGCAAGUAUAAGACCCCAAACUAGAAAUCUAUGAAGUUUUUUGUAAAGAAUUCUCUCCCGACCGUAAAAAUCUUUCUUUAACAAAACUUGAAGAAAGUAAAAAUCUAUUUCGAUCUGAAGCAGGUUUUUUUAAAAAGAGGACGUCCUUGCUGGUUCCCAGAUGCUGGCUGCUCCACUGAUCACCUCCAGUGGCAUCGGCGUGAGGCAUGGGCUGGAAGGCGGCGUUGUGGGCCCGUUAAGGCUCCUGGGGAGGUCCCGACGUUUUCUUACGUAAAGUUAUUAGGUGUGGGCAUCACGACCUCAGACACGUUUUACAUGCGUUUGUGGAGGUUUUCUUUGGUUUACAUUUUCUAAAAGGCAAAUGUCCUUCCUUUAGCAGAAAACACUUAAGUUCCUCAGUAAGGGAACCCUGUCGGCAACAGGAGAGGGCAAGAGAAGUGAAAUUCCCAAGGAUGCGGGUUCAGUCCCCGCUCGGCUGUCUCCCAGCUGGGUGAUCUUGGGUAGGUUCACUUGUCUCUUUGAUCCUCAGUUUUUCUCAUCUGCAAAACGUAAGUAAUAGCCUCCACCUUGAAGGCUGUUUGAAAGAUUGUAGAGUCCGUGUGUGUUGGCCCAGGAUGACUUUUUAAACAUCAGGCAUUUGAUUUAUAUGAGGACUGGGACUUCGGAUUUCGAAAAGCCUCAUCGUAGAACGUUCAUAUGGCUGGGGACGUGUAACUCCGGUCCCUGAAAUACCAAACAAGGGAGACGUAGGGCCCAGGAAGUUUAGAGUGUAAGGAGCAGCAGGGUCCUAAGGAGCCACUGCAGCCCCGCCUUUCCUCCAGGGGUUGUUUUCGGAACCUUUGGCAAAGGCACCGUGUACCGGAUCAGUAAGGUGUGAAAACCAGCCUUUUGCUCAGUAUCUCUUCCCAACUGUCUUUGACUUAUAUCUGCUUAUUUUACCCACCAAACUUGCUUUUAUCAUUUGUGGCUUCUCAGAGCCAGCACAUCUCUGCAGGAUGGAGCUGGAUCUGAUUCGGAUUCUCACAUCCCUGACAGAACUGUCAUCUUCGUUUCCAUCACAGCAUCUCGGUGGCUCUUCAGGGUGUCAGAAUUCAGUGCUUCCCAUUCUAGGCUGAGUUGGCACAGCUGGGGCAGAAGUCCUUAGACUCGUGAACUGAGCCACUUGGACUGACAGAUCAUUAAGAUGCAGGUGUGGGCUUGAAUUUCUCCUGUAAGAUCUCAAUUAUCUGAAUGUCGAAUGAUCAUGAGAAAAAUGAACUUCAAAUUGUCAUUGACAUUUGAGAGUUACUUUGUACGAAACAAUCAGACCUCUGAUACCUUUGACCUACGGUCUCUUCUGAUCGGGAAAAUGGCAUUAAAAAGCUUUUACUCUUAGCCUUUAAUCCUACCCUACAAGAUAAGAUGCACACUGUUUUUCACUGGAAUAUCUGGAAAAAUCAGUAGGCAGAAACUUGCGCGGUUAUUCUCCCACCGAAAUCUGAAGUAUGGUGUCGAGCGCUGAUGACGUGUAGCUUCUUCCACUGUUAUCAAACCUUGGUGCAUUGCAAGGAAAAGGUAGGUUUCAAAAGAAAUGACUCCACUGGAAUAGAAGCUCAGUAGCAAAAUUGCAUUACAUUUCAGAAAAUGAGAAUUUUUCUGGUUACCUGAUGUUGCUACUGCUUUUACUCUUAAGGCUGAUUCUUUGUAAAUAUUUUUGGCGGACAUGUUGUAUGUAUUUCACGCUUUGCUUUUUAGCUAGAAUGUUCUAAAUAAAGUUAGCUUUUUUUUUUUUUCUUCCCUAGGAGGGCACAGGGUUAGCAUUCUUGAUAUUUAUUAUUUCAUUUAUUUAUUCAACACAUAUUUGCCGAGUGUCCACUCAGUGACAGUUCUUGUAUAAACUGAGUCUUCAAAAGAGAGGGCGUGGCCGUGUGGCCAAUGGGGAGAAAGGAGUUCCCGUGCCUUUCUCAGGGGGAACGGCCUUGACAGGUUUGUGGAACUGAAAUAGAGUGUGGUUAGAGCCUGGGGGAAGGAGGAGAAUGGGACGAGGGACCCGCAAUGAUAGACUGGAAGGCAGUUCAGCUUGAGGGCUCCUAGUGAGCGUAGCGCUCGCCCUUAAUUUAACGUCACCAGGCAGCCGUACAUUUCAUGAUGUGUUUUCAUUUUAUAAUGUUCCGAUGCUGUUUCCUUCAUAAUUGUUAAUUCUUUCCCUCUGCAGCAGUUAUUACACCUAAUUCUUAUAAUUUUAUCUUCUUUUCUUUCUAAUUUGCUUUCUGUUGGGUUAAAGAACCAGAUAAGCAGACUAAUUAGAAUUAUGUCCAAAGUGAGAGCAAAAAAGCCAUGAAUUUGGAGCAGAGACUGUCUUCUCUGGGCAAAAUCUGUACGCUUUUCCUUCUAGAACUCAGCUCCGUCUAAGAGCUGGCUAGUGAUCCAAACACGAUGUAAGUACCCUUUCAGUCUAUAAUUUGAGCUAUAGUGGUGUUAUAAAAGAUCUUUAAAAAUUAAUUGCAUUUUGUUGUGCUUUCCAUAGUUAAGCUUGUUAUAUCUUAAUUAUCUGGAAGUGUUAACUAAAUAAUAACACCCCAAUGCAUUAAUAUUGACUAAGAGAAACUAAACAAAGUAUCGAGGAUCACUGUCUAAAUGAGGAUCAAUAUUUAAUUAUAAAUCAUCUAGCGAAUUAUAUUUUUCUUCAUCUGACUAUAAAAUACAUUAGGAGAAAAUAUGAACUCAAGUGAAAAUUGCAGUUUUGAGUUCCCCACGUAAUGACUUCUGCAUUUUGGAAAGGCACGUAAUUAUUUUCCUGUCCCAAAAUUCGGGACUCUAAACUUUCGCAGGAGCACAAGUGCACGUGGACACACAGCAAUUAACUCUUUGAGGGGUGAAGCGGUUUCUUCUGUUCUCAGAUCAGCUGCAGCAUUUGCCACAGUAUUUUGAGCAAAUUAGAUGAUCCAGAAAAUGUUUGUUGAAUAAAUGCCUAAAUGAAUAAAAUCCUUGGCGUGAAAAUGGACUUGAGCGUUUGCUAAAUGCAUUCAGAGUCAUCAUCCAGCCUCUUUUCUGUCUUCAGAAGAGCUUUUGUCAGGCACAAAAUAGAGUGUGAAUUUGUGGCUUUCUGGAAUUCUCUGGACUUAUUUAGGAAUGUGUAGUAUGGUCCUCAACUGUCUCGGGAGAAAAGGGUUAGUAGGCAACACUUACGUAGAAAUAAAAUCGUUUCAGACAGUGGUCAGCCAUUGCAGAGUAUUUGCAAAACAGCAAUCAAGUGACUUUUCUCCUUGUUUGUGGAUAAGAAGCUUGUCUGCUUACCUCCAGUCCUCACCCCUGGAUAAUUGCAGGGGAGGGACAAGUGGAAGGCGGGUACAGAACAAGUGCUGACAGCUGUCCUGAAUGUGGCAUCUUAUUUCCUUCAGGCCUAGAUAUGCUUAGCAUUAUACAGUCCUUAGCUCUGGUCAGGAUGUGGUCAGUGUUUAUUGGAUGGUGUAUGAGAAAUUGGCUCUCCAGGAGGAAAGCUCCCUCAAAUUUACACUAUGAAUGCAAAUAUUAAGUGUAGAAAAUUGCCUCUCAAAAUUCAGGUGUUGGGGGGGGCGUUUAGAAAAUUUACUGGUUGAACAGCAGCGAAAAUAUUACUUUUGUUUCCCCAAGGAAAAAAAUCAUAAGCUCUAUAGUCUAUAUUUGGAAAGAGAGAAGUUCAUUCCUAGAAAUACUUGGGGAUCAGAGGCUCUCAGAUGGCUCGGGGUCUCUUCAUCAGUGGUCAGAUGAUUCUAGAGAGCUUUGCGGGAGUCAAGGCAGGAAAGACGAGGAGUUGGGGUGGAGGCCUUUUAAGGAGCACAGGUAUCUUUGUGUUACAACAACCCCUGAAGGUCCUGAGGAAGCAGUGGAAAUACUGAAUGAAUCGGUGCCUAAACUUAAUGGGGAUGCUCUUUAGUUUAAAGAGCAGUGGUGGCAAAAGGCAGCCAGGGAAGCACCUUAACACUCUGGGGAGAAAUUUAUGAUUUUAAUCUCAUCACAUUCCUGUGGUGUUUAAACUACGAACUCUUCCUUGAGAAGAGCGGCUGUAUUGAUGUGUGAGGUCCCUGCUGGCUUUAGAUUUCGGUGAUGCUUUUGUAAAUGAAGAACAAAGGGUGUGUCUGAGAAAGGCCUGGCAUGUGCCCUUGUUUCUGAAUCAAAUGGUGUCAUCGGAGGCAUCCGCUUUGGCAUCACACGUCUGUGGGGCAAGAGGAGACCAGAUAGAAGCCCGGUGGUUAAGUGGUGCCUGCGUUGUGUGGAGAGUGGGCUGAGAAACCCCGGACCCAGGAAGGAGGUUAGAAUGACGAGAACGCUCCCCUCACAACGGGUGAGCACAGGUACUUGCUUUUUGUCUACACUUGAGCCACGACCUCUCAAAACUGCUUGCUCAGCCUUUCUUAAUACCAGAGCAACUUAAAACAAAUCCUGUCUUUUACCAGCAUUGCAUGAAGCCCGUCCCCUGGGCCCCGGGCUUUGACAGGAUCCACUCCGAAACGUCCAGUGUCACACAGCCUAGAGAGCAGAUUUGUUACUUGUGUCACAGAAGAAUCAGACGGGAUCGUCCAGAGUCCAGCUGCGGAUCUUGAGAUUGUCUGUCGUCGUGUUACUCAGGACAGAACAACUGUUUGAAUCAAGGCCAAAGAUGUCCUUGAGUCAUUUGG